rnacentral:precursor_RNA from 10 species
CUGUCAGCUCAUUUUAUUGUUGUUAUGGCAACGUUGGUCGCACGAUCAAAGCGUCAUUAUUGUUCUGGCGUCAUUAAUUGCGUCAUAAAAUGCCUUGUUCGUUCGGCUCGCGUCUUCAUGAUAAUAACUUUCUUCAAGGACUUUA